ACCCAGCUGGCUUAGUCUGUAGAGCAUGUGACUCUUGAUCUCAAGGUUGUGGGUUCGAGCCCCAUGUGAGGUG
rnacentral:tRNA from 1 species